ACAGACUGGCAGCUUGAGUCACAACUGAUUGCAGCCCUCCAGACAUCAUAACACCACUAGACAUGGAUAUGGUGGAACUCAUUAGGGAUCGGUCAUUUCGCACUAUUGCUGCUUGGAAGCAAAUGAGGAGUGACGAGCCUGCUCCCCGGUGACGUACCCAAGGAGGAAGUCAGGGACAUUAGGGAUCAAAUGCUUCCGCUCUCAAGGUAUGAAUGAAUGACCUGUAUGGAUAUUUGGGGGAGGGCACACAGAGACUUUCCCGCUUGUAAUGCAGACUGUUCCUUCAUGUAGAGCAAUGGAUUUUGAAGUCGGGGGGAAUUGGAUUCAGUCUUCACACAACCCACAAAACCGACCACUUCAGUGACUCCCUGAGGUACUUUGAUGUUUGGUGUUUCGGCUUUUCAUGCUUAUCCACUGAGUUAGAGAAAAUGUGUAAUGACUCAUUGCCAAUGAGGUUUUAGAGCAGAUUGUCAGCUCUAAUACGAGGGUAUUAUCAGCCCUAUCAGAUCAACUGCUCAGGGGCCACUUACAGCCUACUGUGGGAACGGUUUACCAGUUUUGGAUUAUUGGUAUUUGAUCACUUUAAGAGAUAUUCAGCUUAUUUAAUUUGUAGACCUUAAGAGUAAAAAAAAGAAGCCCUGCAGCUUUAAAAUAAUCACAGAUAAGUAGGCUUAAGAAGAAAUGAGAGCAGUAUUGAAUUUGAGGUCAGGUGAACAUUUUCCUUAGCUAUGAUCAGGUCACAACAGAGAUAGAAAUAAAUAUGGUACAAGGAUUUCUUGUGGGAGUGUUUCAUUAAAGCUCCCGUGAGGAAGCUUGGUUAAGGUUUACCUUGACGCCCUGUGGAAAAAGUACAACAGAGUAUAAGGGCCACAUUAAGAUAAAAAAAAUAGGACUUCGAGAUCGUCAUUAACUUACAAGAAAGAAGUCAUUACUAACAAGAAUAAAGUCAUAAAGUAAUUACUUAUGAGAAUAAAGUCGUACUAGAAUCAUGUCUUAGGAGAAUAAAGUCGUAAUAAAGUAAUAACUUAUGAGAAUAAAGUCGUUACUAACAAGAAUAAAAUUGUAACUUACGAGAAUAAAGUCAUACUAAAAUCAUGUCUUAGGAGAAUAAUGUCGUAAUAAAGUAAUUAAAGAAAAGAGUUGUCAUAAAAUCAUUACUUAUAAGAAUAAAGUUGUAAUAAAGUCAUUGAUACUUAUGAUGUGUUGCUGAUGUUCCAAAAGAUAAAGGAUUUCCUUGUUUGAGAAACCUGUAUUGAAGUUCAUUUUCACAAUUUCAACAAACUUAAGAACUGUCAUCUUAAACAGCAUGUUAGAAUAUAAGGACUUUAUUCUGACUUUACUCACACGAUUACUUUACUAUGACUUCAUUAUCAUAAGUAAUUACUUUACUAUUAUGACUUUAUUGUCCUAAGUCAUUACUUUAUUACGACUUUAUUCUCAUAAUUACUUUAUGACUUUAUUCUCGUUAGUAAUGAUUUUAGAACAACUGUAUUCUCGCAAGUAAUUACUUUAUUACGACUGUGUUCUUGUAAGUCAUGACUUUAUUCUUGUAAAUUAAUGACUUUAAUUUCGUAGUCUUAAUUUUUUUUUUCUUAAUGUGGCCGUAAUACUUAGUCAUAAAACAGCAGUAUUUAUUUAACCUUUUUUCUAAGAGAGAAACCUCAUUUGUCUUUUCUUGAAUUUUAGAAAACAAAAAAGUUGAGUCUACAGCUGGGUGGUAACUCUUCA
rnacentral:lncRNA from 1 species